GAUGAACGCUGGCGGCGUGCCUAAUACAUGCAAGUCGAGCGAACGGACGAGAAGCUUGCUUCUCUGAUGUUAGCGGCGGACGUGUGAGUAACACGUGUAUAACCUACCUUUAUUACUUGUAUAUCUUCGGGAAUCCGGAUCUAAUCCCGGAUGAUAUUUUGAACCGCAUGGUUCAAUAGUGAAAUACGGUCUUUCUGUCACUUAUAGAUGGAUCCUCGCUGCAUUAGCUAGUUGGUAAGGUAACGGCUUACCAAGGCAACGAUGCAUAGCCGACCUGAGAGGGUGAUCGGAAACACGGGAACGGAGACAGGGACAAGACGACUACGGGAGGAAGCAGAAGGGAAUGGGACGCAAUGGGCGAAAGCAUGACGGAGAAAAGCCGCGUGAGAGAAGAAGGUGUGGGGAUCGUAAAAAUCUGUUAUUAGGGAAGAACAGAUGUGUAAGUAAAUGAGCACAGCGUGACGGUAACGAAUCAGAAAGCAACGGCUAACUACGUG
rnacentral:rRNA from 1 species